rnacentral:tRNA from 1 species
GCCGUUAUAGCUUAGUGGUAGAGUGCUUCCUUGGUAAGGAAGAGACCCAAGUUCGAUUCUUGGUUACGGCACC